rnacentral:misc_RNA from 1 species
ACUGGUUGGAGCUUGAAGCAAACAAUUUUUUUAUUGAGGAAUAUUUCAACAUUCAGUUAAGUCGGUAUGUGGUUCACAAUGCUACCAGUGGUUGCAUUUGCAGCAGUUGUCUAUGGGAUUCCCUGCGAAGAAGCACGAAUGAAAUGCAUGUACAGGGUGGGAUGUGGGAAAGCUCUGCAAAACUACAUGGUUGGGUGUUCAUUGGUUCUUCAAGAAUCAGCUAUUGAUUACUGUCCGAAAGUUUGCGAAUACUCUCUAAUCGCCCUUGUAUCAACGGAAGAAGGAAAAGCUCUUAUGGAAUGUGAAUGUAGUGACCCUUAUUGCCAGCACGAGAAGGAACGAACCGAAAUUUGUAAGCCGAGUGUGAUCAAAACCAUCAAUGAACCGGUUGUUGCUUGUCGAAUAGCACAGCGAAUCUGCAACGCAAAUGCAGCAUGUGCGACUGCAUUCGACUACUACCAGAGAAACUGCAAGGCAAUGUUUCAUGGGAAGAAGUGCACUCCGAAAUGCCACAAUUCCAUCAGUAUUCUUAGAAGACAAGAAAAAGCACAGCAACUGAAAAUGUGCACAUGCGAUGGCAAAGAAGAUUACGAUUGUCCAAAAAUUCAACGGAAUAUGGAAAAACUCUGUUUCCAUAAAGCGCAUCAUCGCUAUAAUGCCACAACGCCAACUGUGAAUGUGCAUUCGGAACAAACGCCUGAAGUCAUACGGACUUCUUCAAGUGAAUGUUUAAGAGUGUCUUUGAUAGUGUUGUUUGUCAGUUUGUUGUUGCUUAGGACACGGUAAUGUGUAAUUUUGAAGCUAAAAUUUUUUCUACCUCGAUUGAUCAUUCAGUAUUUAUGGAUGUUUCCACAGACUGUGAUAUUAUUACUAUAAUGAGAGAAUUAAAUAUGUGCAGACGAACUGUUAGUGCAUGUGUAGAUCGUAAUUUUCUGGAAAGAAAGUAGUGGAUAAUUGAGAUUUGCCAUCAAGCUUAACUGAGGAAAGGAAUAAAACUGGCUUUCUUUUGUAUGUGAAAAUGAUUUAGGAAAGUGAUUAAACUUGGAUAGUUUGGGUAAAGU